rnacentral:rRNA from 1 species
UUCCGUAGGUGAACCUGCGGAGGGAUCAUUACACAACAAAAAUAUGAGGGUGUGGUUUGCUGGCAACAGCGUCCGCCCCAAGUAUUUUUCACCCAUGUCUUUUGCGCACUUUUUGUUUCCUGGGCGAGUUCGCUCGCCACCAGGACCCAACCAUAAACCUUUUUUUAUGCAGUUGCAAUCAGCGUCAGUAUAAUAAUUCAAUUUAUUAAAACUUUCAACAACGGAUCUCUUGGUUCUGGCAUCGAUGAAGAACGCAGCGAAAUGCGAUACGUAGUGUGAAUUGCAGAAUUCAGUGAAUCAUCGAAUCUUUGAACGCACAUUGCGCCCUUUGGUAUUCCAAAGGGCAUGCCUGUUCGAGCGUCAUUUGUACCCUCAAGCUUUGCUUGGUGUUGGGCGUCUUUUUGUCUCUCCCCUUGUUGGGGGAGACUCGCCUUAAAACGAUUGGCAGCCGACCUACUGGUUUUCGGAGCGCAGCACAAAUUUGCGCCUUCCAAUCCACGGGGCGGCAUCCAGCAAGCCUUUGUUUUCUAUAACAAAUCCACAUUUUGACCUCGGAUCAGGUAGGGAUACCCGCUGAACUUAAGCAUAUCAAAAC